rnacentral:rRNA from 1 species
UCUACGGGCGGCAGCAGUGAGGAAUAUUGGUCAAUGGGCGGGAGCCUGAACCAGCCAAGUAGCGUGAAGGAUGACAGCCCUAUGGGUUUUAAACUUCUUUUAUAAGGGAAUAAAGUGCCCCACGUGUGGGGUUUUGUAUGUACCUUAUGAAUAAGCAUCGGCUAAUUCCGUGCCAGCAGCCGCGGUAAUACGGAAGAUGCGAGCGUUAUCCGGAUUUAUUGGGUUUAAAGGGAGCGUAGGCGGUUCCAUAAGUCAGCGGUAAAAUCGUGCGGCUCAACCGUACCGUGCCGUUGAAACUGUGGGACUUGAGUAUGCGCAGGGUACAUGGAAUUCGUGGUGUAGCGGUGAAAUGCUUAGAUAUCACGAAGAACUCCGAUCGCGAAGGCAUUGUACCGGAGCAAGACUGACGCUGAGGCACGAAGGCCAGGGGAGCGAAAGGGAUUAGAUACCCUUGUAGUC